UACGUAGGGUGCGAGCGUUGUCCGGAAUUACUGGGCGUAAAGAGCUCGUAGGUGGUUUGUCGCGUUGUUCGUGAAAACUCACAGCUUAACUGUGGGCGUGCGGGCGAUACGGGCAGACUGGAGUACUGCAGGGGAGACUGGAAUUCCUGGUGUAGCGGUGGAAUGCGCAGAUAUCAGGAGGAACACCGGUGGCGAAGGCGGGUCUCGUGGGCAGUAACUGACGCUGGAGGAGCGAAAAGCGUGGGG
rnacentral:rRNA from 1 species